UGCCCUGGCACCGCCUCUUCGGCCCCUUCGACCUCUUCGAUGGACACGACUUCGCCAAGGUGGUCGACACUCUGUCCGCUCUGUCCUGGACGCCGAUCGCACAGAGGAGAGGCCUGGAGCCGUUCCCGUCCGAGGGCACCGUUGGGGACAGCGACGUUUACAGCGGCGUUGGAGAGCGGA